UAAACUCUAUGAAUGGCUUUUCUUCAAUCAAAUCAUAGUAACAAGCUUCAUAUUUUAAGAUACAAACCUCCUCAACAUGUUCCUUCAAAAGUUAAAAAUCAAGGAAGUACCGCUUUUCGCAAGCUGCUGCUCACACCAUUACCAGACCAAUUACUCUCUCCAUUCUAGGGUUCAUCAAUUCCUGAUAAGCUCUUUGUUCUUGGUGGGAGACUCCGAAAUGCAGGUGGGAAGGGGAAGCUCAGACCAAAUAUUCACCAGCAAAGAAAUAAUUUAGAAUCAAUGCAUUCAUAUGGAACAUAUUUUACAAAAGCCGUUCGUAGUACAAAAC
rnacentral:misc_RNA from 1 species